rnacentral:rRNA from 1 species
UAGGGAAUCUUCCACAAUGGACGCAAGUCUGAUGGAGCAACGCCGCGUGAGUGAAGAAGGUUUUCGGACCGUAAAGCUCUGUUGUUGGUGAAGAAGGAUAGAGGUAGUAACUGGCCUUUAUUUGACGGUAAUCAACCAGAAAGUCACGGCUAACUACGUGCCAGCAGCCGCGGUAAUACGUAGGUGGCAAGCGUUGUCCGGAUUUAUUGGGCGUAAAAGCGAGCGCAGGCGGAAGAAUAAGUCUGAUG